rnacentral:lncRNA from 1 species
GAGGAGAGAACAUGCAAACUUCACAUCAGGCUUAAGCAGGCUUUCUGCGGAUUGAAUCCUCCAGAUAUCACUAGAGAUGCAGUUUACAGUCUGGAGUGAUUUCAAGGAGUCUUUCCCAAGGAAGAGAAGCAAAGCACCAGUGCCUCCCCUGGAGCGUGUUAAAGGACAGCAACGCACAGCUACAGAUAUUGAACUAAAUUCAGGAAUAAUCCCCUCUAGAGUGGAGAAAGUCCCGAGUAAUCCUUCAGAAAAAGUGGCAGCUGACCUGGGAAACGCUGCGAUUCGGCGGGGUCAGGCAGAGCAAGGCAUCAGGCCAUGUGCCGUGGGCUGGCAGAAGUGGAGAAGCUCAGUAAGUGAUGUCGUGAUGUGCUGGAAAACAGGUGAGCAGGGACGAACAUGUGGGAAAACAGUGGGACCCAGGAGGGCACUGUUGCAAUGCGGGGUGGGAGAGGGAAAGAUGAGAGACUGCCAGGCUGGAUCCCAGCCCCAAAGCUUAGCCGAGAUGCCUACUCCUUGAUGCCAGAUUUUCCUG